rnacentral:rRNA from 1 species
GAGAGGGCCACCCCCCAAAAAAACCCUUUCCGAAAGGGGGACCUGCGGAAGGAUCAUUACCGAGUGAGGGCCCUCUGGGUCCAACCUCCCACCCGUGUCUAUCGUACCUUGUUGCUUCGGCGGGCCCGCCGUUUCGACGGCCGCCGGGGAGGCCUUGCGCCCCCGGGCCCGCGCCCGCCGAAGACCCCAACAUGAACGCUGUUCUGAAAGUAUGCAGUCUGAGUUGAUUAUCGUAAUCAGUUAAAACUUUCAACAACGGAUCUCUUGGUUCCGGCAUCGAUGAAGAACGCAGCGAAAUGCGAUAAGUAAUGUGAAUUGCAGAAUUCAGUGAAUCAUCGAGUCUUUGAACGCACAUUGCGCCCCCUGGUAUUCCGGGGGGCAUGCCUGUCCGAGCGUCAUUGCUGCCCUCAAGCACGGCUUGUGUGUUGGGCCCCCGUCCCCCUCUCCCGGGGGACGGGCCCGAAAGGCAGCGGCGGCACCGCGUCCGGUCCUCGAGCGUAUGGGGCUUUGUCACCUGCUCUGUAGGCCCGGCCGGCGCCAGCCGACACCCAACUUUAUUUUUCUAAGGUUGACCUCGGAUCAGGUAGGGAUACCCGCUGAACUUAAGCAUAUCAUAAGCCCGGAAGAAUCAUUACCGAGUGAGGGCCCUCUGGGUCCAACCUCCCACCCGUGUCUAUCGUACCUUGUUGCUUCGGCGGGCCCGCCAUUUCAACGGCCGCGGGGAAGGCCUUGCCCCGGGCGCGCCCGCGAAGACCCAACAUGAACGCUGUUCUGAAAGUAUGCAGUCUGAGUUGAUUAUCGUAAUCAGUUUAAAACUUUUCACAACGGAUCUCUUGGUUUCGGCAUCGAUAAAGAACGCAGCGAAUGCGAUAAGUAAUGUGAAUUGCAGAAUUCAGUGAAUCAUCAGUCUUUGAACGCCAAUUGCGCCCCUGGUAUUACGGGGGCAUGCUGUCGAGCUCUUGCUGCUUAGCAGCUGGUGAUGUUGGGCCCUCCCCUCCGAGGAGGCAAAGGAGCCGCACCGUCGUCUCGAGAUAGGCUGUUCUCGUCUGAGCGACGGCCCCGACCAAAUAUUUCAGGUAUCAGAUGAGAACCGUACUAGCUUAGGGAGACU